GGGCGCUUACAUUCUUCCUGCAACAUGAGAAGGGAGGGAGGGACUCUCAGCAGGGAUGCAGUCUGGGACACGUAGUUGCAAACCUAGCGACUUUGUUGUUAGAUUCAAUUACUUUUCAGACACCCUAACGACUUUUUUUUAGAAAGAAAGGGACUUUUAUCGACUUCUUCUGGAGUUUAGAGACUCUGACAUGAAGCAGGCUUUCCUUACUGAGGAGUUAGCAACGCUGCUAAGGGUGCAGAGCCACACAUGCGCUCAGAGCUCUGCAUGGGAGACUGAAGCUGACAGAGCUGCAGCAGUUAGCAGGUUUCACCCUCAGAGACCACCAGGGGUUCAUGUUGAGGCAUUUUAAUUUUUUUUUUUGUGCCAUAGACACUGUCAGCACAAUCUGCAGUUACACUAACAAAAAUGCUGCAAAAAACAAAGAAUUAUGGAAAAAUUACACAUGGACUGACAUAGAGGAGGAUCUACACAAGUUUUUUACAUCAUGUUUUACAUCAUGCAUCAUUUACAUCAUGUUUUUUUGUAGUGGCAUAAAUAAAAAGUGACAUUUGUGAGACUAUACAGUGUUUUGUAAAUAAUUUUACAAAGAACACCUGGGCCAUUGCCUGCAUUUUGAUGUAAAUAGAGGUAAAUUACUAUGUUCUUUGUUUAAAAUUUGCAUAUGUUUUGAAGUUUACAAUUUUUAUUUGAAGUUUAAGUUUUAAAAACAGUUCAUCACACAUAUUUGUGGUUUAAUUUCACAUUAAUUUCCAUAUUGUAUAAAUGACUGGAAAAAACUUGAGCCCCUGCCCCUGUAUAAUCAUGUGCACGUCCCUGUUCUAGCUCCAAGGUGAAUCUUCACUGCUCAUGUUCUCCUCAGAAAUAGUCACCUCACUCCCCUCAGGUUACUGUACACAUGCACCAACUAUCUGCUUCAGGUUUGAAAUGGAGCUUCAUGGUUGUCUUUUGGAGAAAUGAACAGUCAAGUUGUGUUUGAAAUUUGAUUUUUUUCAGGGGCAAAAGGAAGCCUCUGCAUUCUUGUCAAAUAUGUAAACAGCAUGUUUUUGCAGGUGCUAAAAAACAGACUCUGAGUGUGUGUGUGUGUCUGUGUGUGUGUGUGUGUGUGUGUGUGUGUGUGUGUAUGUUGGCGUGUGUGUAUAUGUGUGUGUAUCCUGCAGUACUCUGUACUCCUGCAGUGGCCAAAAAGACUUUUAAGAAUGUGGAUUUUUGGGUCAUCUUUGGCGCCCCCUAGAACUGCAGUACUCUGUACUCCUGCAGUGGCCAAAAUGACUUUUAAGAAUGUGGAUUUUUGGGUCAUCUUUGGCGCCCCCUAGAACGUAAACCGUGGGGUGCAGCGUCAUGAUUUUUACAACUUUGAAUGGGCAUGGGGUGUAGAUUGCCCUGAGCAAAUUUGGUAUCGGUGGGACGAAAGCCUUAGGAGGAGAUAGCCACAUUCCAAUGUGUGCGAAUCGGCAAAAAAUGCAAAAUAGCCCUUUAACCGUACAUUAUACAGAUACGCGCUUUUUGACUUUUUCGUAGAUCUAAUUGAGAUACAUGUGUGUGUCAAUUUUUGUGUCAAUAUGACAAAGCGUUCAGGCGUGACACUCAACAAUGUGUAUUUUUAUGUAAGGGGACAAGAAAAAAUUGACUUUUUUCUCCUACCAUGGGGGGGCGCUCUUUUGGGGAGUAAAAAUUCCUUCACAAAUGUGUUGAUGGCUGGACAUUGCAUCAUCCUAGAAAACUUGGAGGCCAGUGAGGACAAAAAUAAAAAGUUAUAAAACAUUUAAGAAUGUGGAUUUUUGGGUUAUUUUUGGCGCCCCCUAGAACCUAAACCAUGGGGUGCAGCAUCAUGAUUUGAAUAACUUUUAAUGGCCAUGGGGUGUAGAUUGGCCUGAGCAAAUGUGGUGCCGGUGGAACGAAAGCCUUCGGAGGAGUUAGCGAAAUUCCAAUGUGUGCGUAUCGGCAAAAAAUGCGGAAUAACCCUUUAACUGUACAUUUGACAGAUACGCGCGCAUGGACUUUUUUGUAAAUCUUAUUGAGUUACAUGUGUGUGUCAAUUUUUGUGUCAUUUUGACAAAGCGUAUAGGCGUGACACUCAACAAUGUGUAUUUUCACCUUAGGGGACAAGAAAAAAUGGACUUUUUUCUCCUGCCAUGGGGGGGCGCUCUUUUGGGGAGUAAAAAUUCCUUCACAAAUGUGUUGAUGGCUGGACAUUGCAUCAUCCUAGAAAACUUGGAGGCCAGUGAGGACAAAAAUAAAAAGUUAUAAGACUUUUAAAUAUGUGGAUUUUAGUGUUAUCUUUGGCGCCCCCUAGAACCUAAACCUUGGGGUGCAGCGUCAUGAUUUUGAUAACUUUUAAUGGCCACGGGGUGUAGAUUGGCCUGAGCAAAUGUGGUGCCGGUGGAACGAAAGCCUUCGGAGGAGUUAGCGAAAUUCCAAUGUGUGCGGAUCGGCAAAAAAUGCGAAAUAACCCUUUAACCGUACAUUUGACAGAUACGGCCGAACUGAACUGACUUUUUUGUAGAUCUUAUUGAGAUACAUAUGUGUGUCAAUUUUUGUGUCAAUAUGACAAAGCGUACAGGCGUGACAGUCAAUAGUGUGAAUUUCCACCUUAGGGGGCGCUAUGGAGCCAUUUUGCAUUUUAUUGUUUGGGCGACUUCAGAAUAUCGAAUUUUUCACCAGGCCCGGUCGUCCUGCCAAAUUUCAUGAGUUUUCGCCAGUGGGAAGUGGGCCAUUUUCCAGUUCAAAGGGGAGGAAAAAGAAGAAAGAAAGAAAGAACUAGGGCCCCGUUGGGGCACUGGCGGGCCCGAGCCGUGUCGCGCCGCCCCCAGCGUGACCGCCUCCCCGUCCCAUUCGCGUCCUCUGGCCGUCGCCCUCUCUGGUCACGCCCAUCACUGCAAAGACCCUUUUCCUUCAUCGGUGUUUGCUGUUCUUCCUGCCAGUGCGUGUUGCUUUCACUUACACUUGCCACAGCCAGCCUCGUGAGUGCCUAGCCUAUUGGAUAUCACUGUCACCUACACAGGACAGUCAUUACCUUUCUAUUAAUACUUUGUUUUUAAUUUCACAUUAAUUUCCAUAUUGUAUAAAUGACUGGAAAAAACUUGAGCCCCUGCCCCUGUAUAAUCAUGUGCACGUCCCUGUUCUAGCUCCAAGGUGAAUCUUCACUGCUCAUGUUCUCCUCAGAAGCAGUCACCUCACUCCCCUCAGGUUACUGUACACAUGCACCAACUGCCUGCUUCAGGUUUGGAUGGAGCUUCAUGGUUGUCUUUUGGAGAAAUGAGCAGUCAGGUUGUGUUUGAAAUUUGAUUUUUUUCAGGGGCAAAAAGGGGCCUCUGCAUUCUAGUCAAAUAUGUAAAUAGCAUGUUUUUGCAGGUGCUAAAAAAAAGACUCUGAGUGUGUGUGUGUGUAUGUCCUGCAGUACUCUGAGAAGAAUAAUAAGCAUAUUUCUGAGGUGAAUUUUGAAGAUUCAUCUGAGAGUUAGGAGGGCUGAUCAUUCCCUUACCCUUUAGAUGUCUGUCUAUGUCUGUUUUUGUGUGAUAAUGAAAGAAUCCCAACUCAAAAAGGCUCUGUUGAUGGUUUUUUUUGUUGUUGUUCAUUCAUAUUCAAACCACUAUUUUAUAUCACUGCUAAUACGCCAAGACCAUUUUAUGGUAUUUAGCUUUAUUAUUUCUAUACAUUUUGCAAGGAAAGAAACCAAGGCCUUCACUAAAAUUUCCAUAAACUUUAGGAAAGGACCUCUGGUUGUUUAAGGGGGUCAUUACUGCAAAAACAUAUCCUUCCUAAAUUUUGAAGGUCAAACCUUAGAUCCAUUAGGUUUAAAUAGAAAAAGCAUUAAAAUAUGUUAGGAUUAUAGCAUAUGACAAAUAUGUGCCUUUCAGUGGCCACAACUACUUUGUCUGCUGGCUCUGCAGUCGAUUGACGCUCCCCAGCGUUCAAGUCACAUUACAUAUUUAACCGGAUGUAGCAGCAAGACGGAGCCUCGUUGACUCUCCGUUUCAACUUAUCUCAAAAGUGAGGACCUCAAACUAUACACCAGUUUUCAAAUUGUGUUGAUAGGCCAAAUAAAACCAGAGUUAUGAUAAAUUAUGUCCGCGAUACUUUUUUUCUGCUUAUUUUGAUCACGUUCGGCGCUCGAUCGCGCUGUAUGAGACAGGAUAACAUAGCAUGCAGACAUUAGCGACAGGUCUUACAGGCGGAAAAGGCUUGCCAAAGAAAAAAAACAACACACCACAACAUCUCUCCUAUUGGUGGAAAACUUCACCACAACAACCAAUCCAAAAUUAUAUGGUGACUGAUUGACAAGGGGCGGGCGCUUACGUUCUUCCUGCAACAUGAGAAGGGAGGGAGGAACUCUCAGCAGGGAUGCAGUCUGGGACACGUAGUUGCAAACCUAGCGACUUUGUUGUUAGAUUCAAUGACUUUUCAGACCCCCUAACGACUUUUUUUUAAGAAAGAAAGGGACUUUUAUCGACUUCUUCUGGAGUUUAGAGACUCUGACAUGAAGCAGGCUUUCCUUACUGAGGAGUUAGCAACGCUGCUAAGGGUGCAGAGCCACACAUGCGCUCCGAGCUCUGCA